rnacentral:rRNA from 1 species
GACGUAGGGGGCCAGCGUUGUUCGGAAUUACUGGGCGUAAAGGGCGCGUAGGCGGCCUUCUAAGUCGAACGUGAAAUCCCCGGGCUCAACCCGGGAACUGCGUCCGAUACUGGAAGGCUUGAAUCCGGGAGAGGGAUGCGGAAUUCCAGGUGUAGCGGUGAAAUGCGUAGAUAUCUGGAGGAACACCGGUGGCGAAGGCGGCAUCCUGGACCGGCAUUGACGCUGAGGCGCGAAAGCCAGGGGAGCAAACGGG